rnacentral:snRNA from 1 species
GUGCUCGCUUCAGCAGCACAUAUACUAAAAAUGGAACAAUACACAGACGAUUAGCAUAGCCCCUGCACAAGGAUGACAUGGGAAAAAAAAAAGAAGAAAAAUCUUAA